UUCCAAGUGGUCUAGUGGUUAGGAUUCCACGCUCUCACCAUGGCGGCCGGUGUUCGAUUCCCCGCUUGGUAA
rnacentral:tRNA from 1 species